rnacentral:rRNA from 1 species
AUUGAACGCUGGCGGCAUGCCUUACACAUGCAAGUCGAACGGUAACGGGCCUUCGGGUGCCGACGAGUGGCGAACGGGUGAGUAAUGUAUCGGAACGUACCUUUCAGUGGGGGAUAACGUAGCGAAAGUUACGCUAAUACCGCAUAUUCUGUGCGCAGGAAAGCAGGGGAUCGGAAGACCUUGCGCUGAUUGCGCGGCCGAUAUCAGAUUAGCUAGUUGGUGAGGUAAAGGCUCACCAAGGCGACGAUCUGUAGCGGGUCUGAGAGGAUGAUCCGCCACACUGGAACUGAGACACGGUCCAGACUCCUACGGGAGGCAGCAGUGGGGAAUUUUGGACAAUGGGGGCAACCCUGAUCCAGCCAUGCCGCGUGAGUGAAGAAGGCCUUCGGGUUGUAAAGCUCUUUCGGCCGGGAAGAAAUCGUAUCAGCUAAUACCUGGUGCGGAUGACGGUACCGGCAUAAGAAGCACCGGCUAACUACGUGCCAGCCGCCGCCGUAACAC